rnacentral:tRNA from 1 species
AGAGUAAUAGCUCAGUGGUAGAGCAUAUGUUUAGCAUGGAUAAGGCCCUGGGAUCAACCCCCAGUACCUUUA